UACAGAGGUCCCAAGCGUUGUUCGGAUUCACUGGGCGUAAAGGGUGCGUAGGUGGUGGGGCAAGUUUGAUGUGAAAUCUCCGGGCUUAACUCGGAAAUGGCAUUGAAUACUGUUCCGCUAGAGGUUUGGAGGGGGGACUGGAAUUCUCGGUGUAGCAGUGAAAUGCGUAGAUAUCGAGAGGAACACCGGUGGCGAAGGCGAGUCCCUGGACAACACCUGACACUGAGGCACGAAAGCUAGGGGAGCAAACAGG
rnacentral:rRNA from 1 species